GCUUUGUUGGAAGGAUGGUCUAAAUCGUUGGCUUCCAACCACUACGACCCAGGUUCGAUUCCCGCAUUUAGCA